CCUUCGGGUUGUAAAGCUCUGUCUUCUGGGACGAUAAUGACGGUACCAGAGGAGGAAGCCACGGCUAACUACGUGCCAGCAGCCGCGGUAAUACGUAGGUGGCAAGCGUUGUCCGGAUUUACUGGGCGUAAAGGAUGCGUAGGCGGAUACUUAAGUCAGAUGUGAAAUCCCCGGGCUUAACUUGGGAGCUGCAUUUGAAACUGGGUAUCUAGAGUGCGGGAGAGGAAAGUGGAAUUCCUAGUGUAGCGGUGAAAUGCGUAGAGAUUAGGAAGAACACCAGUGGCGAAGGCGACUUUCUGGACUGUAACUGACGCUGAGGCAUGAAAGCGUGGGGAGCAAACAGGAUUAGAUACC
rnacentral:rRNA from 1 species